rnacentral:tRNA from 1 species
GCCCAGGUGAUGAAACUGGUAAACAUGCUAGCUUCAGGAGCUAGUGCUGAAAGGCUUGGGAGUUCAAAUCUCCCCCUGGGCA